UUAAAUCAGUUAUGAUCUACAUGACAAAUACUUUACUACUGGAUAACCGUGGUAAUUCUAGAGCUAAUACAUGCAGAAAAGGCCUGACUUCGGAAGGGCUGCACUUAUUAGAUCAAAACCUUCCUGGGUAAAACCAGUUCUUUGGUGAUUCAUAAUAAUUUAGCUGAUCGCAUGGCCUUGCGCCGGCGACGGUACAUUCGAUUUUCUGCCCUAUCAGGCUGUUGAUUGUAAGAUAGAGGCUUACAAUGGCUACCACGGGUAACGGGGAAUUAGGGUUCGAUUCCGGAGAGGGAGCCUGAGAAACGGCUACCACAUCCAAGGAAGGCAGCAGGCGCGCAAAUUACCCAAUCCCGAUACGGGGAGGUAGUGACAAUAAAUAACAAUGCUGGGCAUUUUUGUCUAGCAAUUGGAAUGAGUACAAUUUAAAUCCCUUAACGAGGAUCAAUUGGAGGGCAAGUCUGGUGCCAGCAGCCGCGGUAAUUCCAGCUCCAAAAGCGUAUAUUAAAGUUGUUGCAGUUAAAACGUCCGUAGUCGAAUUUACGCCUGAUGUGGGCCCUGCCGGUACUUCAUUGUGCUGGAUUUGUUGGUUCACUCGGCGAUAAAGUUG
rnacentral:rRNA from 1 species